ensembl:lncRNA
CCAACAUGUACUGAAAAAGAAUUACUAUGAGAGGUUCAAAGCAAUGAGACAUUGGUAUUUCUUAGAGCAAUGGUCUAUUGAAGAGGUACAGCUGAAAAUGGCCCUUGAAAGAGGGGUAGAGUACUAAGGUGUGGAAGCUUAACAUAGGUAUGGAGUAUUAGAGAAGAUUCAGAUUAAAAUCUUGAAGAGUAAGGUUUUUAUGGGAUAUCAAAUGUACUGAGGACUUCAGGUUUUAUGUAGAGGAAGCUGCAACACUGAAAUUAUAAUGAUCUUCUGUCCACGAAGGCUGCUCACCCACAGGGUGAGAAGCAGCAAUGGUCCUAAGCUAACAUGAGAGAUUUCAAGCUUUCACAGUAAUGACGGGAGUGAUGCACUCAGUAGCAGCAUGUUUCACCAAGGAAGAUGGCCAUGCAUCUUCAAAGGCUGAGGGGAACAAGCAUUCUCUAAUUCCCAUGGAGACCUAGAAGAGUUCUUCAUUGUGGAGUCAUGCAAGCCCCUUUCUUAGCUGGAUGGGUGAAGUGUUCCCUCAGUUCACAUAGACAAUGCUUCCUCUUUAGAAGCAUAGGUGUAAAACAGGAGAGUCUGUUUUAAGAGGAUCUGUUUGAAGUUUAAUGUAACUGAAAUCCAUGCACCUGAAGCCUUUAAGUGAUAUAAGUGCCUCUCCUCCUGUUCACCUGGCACCUUGGCCCCCACAUAAUCGAGAGCAAAGUUUGUGCCCUCUACCUAGGACACCUGAGCCAGCACUCACAUUGUUCCUGCAGAGAGCACUCUACAGACCUGGUUGUUGUCCUUGUGAGCAGUGCCCAACAAAAGCAGAAAAAAGUGUCUCAACCAAUCCCCUACUCUGAAGACAGAAUUGCAGGAGCACAUGAGCCUUCUAUAUUUCCAUGGCUCCCAUUUUAUAAAAGGAUCAACUGCAUUGACUGCCCAUAGUCCGUUGUCCUUGAGGAACCUCACAAGCUUUUUCCUGCCCCAACCCCAUCGGGGUGCUUGAGGUUUAGUGUUUUUCUGACCAUAAGCCAACAAGAGCCAAGCCUCUGAGUACCUUGGAAGCCUCUGACUUCAGUCUUCACUAAACACAUGGGCCUGGUGUUGGUCUGUGCCUCCUCACCUUCUAUGCAGUGUGCUCAGGACUGAGCUUCUGAAGGCCACCAUGAGCAUGAGAUUUCCACCUCUCACCCAACAUAUCCUUGCUAACGUGGGUCAUAUGAAGUCACAACACUCCCAGUCCUUUGUAACUUGCUGACCCUCCUUGGACAGGAUCACUGUACUGUUCCGAGUGCCAGACUCCACAAUGUCUUUUGUGACAAGCCACUUGUUCAAUAGGCUAUUGACAGGUCUCUAAACCUGCCCUGGAGCACUGGCCCUUCAGCUGACUGCAGAUGCCCUUAUUUGAGAAUUGUCCUUUACAAUUUCUCAAUCAGAGACUAUGGCGAUUGCUUCUUCACAGAGAAACUAGAGACUGCUCUCUCUGCAGAUGUGGCUUUACUUCAGGAUUGAAGGAAUGUCCCAUUUAAAAGCAGAAUCUGCAGAAAUGAGUUACAGCUCAGGAAAUAACACUAUGUCAUCUAAGCUAACAGAAGCAUGCCCGUUGUCGAUAUAUUUAAUCUAAACUGAAGACAAAAAAGGAAUCUCACUGGUUGGUGUAUACUGAGUACAAAAAAUUCUUACUAUCGUGUGCUGGUCACCAAUGUGAUGGGGCCAGAUGACUGCUCUAAAAGAGUAAGUUUGCCAUGCUAAGAAAGAAGCCAGUGUAAAAAAAAAGUUUCACACUACAUACCUCUUCCCCACAACACACAUACACACACAGCACAUGCAUGACAAUGUUUCAGUCCUCCCAAAAAUCGGCCAGGACAAUAAGAUUUGGACUUUAAACCAAGCUAAUACUAUUGCUUCUUUGCUUUGUGUUUAAGAGAGUCACAACCAGUGAAUUGACUCAUUUUUAUUUUCAUAUAAAACUGGGUUUUUUUGGCACCUUAGGCUUUUGUAGACAUUUAUCAUUUUGUUUCUCUCAGAUAACACAAACAUUGAUUUUUUUAGUAUUCAGACCUCUUAUUUUCCCCUGCAUCACUUGUCAGCUUCCAAACAAUCUAUAAUUACAAGACAAGCAAUGAAAAUAGUGAAUGUUCACAGUAGGCCCCAUCUUGAGCUACAUGACUGUGAGACACACUGAACUGCUGGUGCCCACUCGGCAUUCACAGUGGACCAGGGACCAGAAACUUGGGUUGCAGCUGAAUUGCAAGAAAAAAUAUAGAAAGUAGUAAAAAAGAUGUUGCAGUGGGGUUUUCCUGCUUUGUCUUUUCUCCUCAAAGCAUAUCGUCCUUUCCUCUUUUAUAGAAGUAAGUCUUUGGGUUUCCGGUAGCUCUGACUCAGAUUCUGCUUGCCUCUUCUCCAUGAGAUUACCAAGGCAUCAGGGCAGAGACUCCCUGAAGUGAGCACUGGGCUUUCGUCCAUGGUGGGCAGUGGCUUGAUCACACCAGUGCAGUCAGCUGCAGAGCGGGUGCCAGGGAGACCGGAUCUUG